UGUAUAUGCAACUGAGUUGCUAUGCAGCAACGACACAUCAUUUAGAGAACUUGUAAUGCAGAAAAUGCUGCGAGGUUCAGCUGAUGCACUAUUGGUUCAGUCUUGAAGGCGGCCCACUGAUCAUCAGCUCAUCACGAAAUGCAAUCGUUGUGGUGUCCGUCACAAGCAUCUUGACUGACAUGCAGUUGUUCGUUUUCAAAGGCACACAGAACAGAUCAGCAGAACCCCCGCUAGCCGUCCCACCACCGUGAGGAUGCAGCGCCUCCUCCCCGCCACCCUCCGCCGGCGCCGCCUCUCCACCGACGCCGCCCCGGACCACGGCCUCGCCUCCUCCGCGGAGCUCGCGCACCGCCUGCUCCGCCGCCACGGCGCCGACCCGCAGAGGCUGGCCUCCGCGCUCUCCGCGUCGGGGCUGGACCCGGCCUCCCCGCGCCUCCUCGACGCCGUGCUCCGCCGCUGCGGCGCCGCCUCCUCCCUCGCGCUCGGCUACUUCCACUGGUGCUCCCCGUCGCUGCCCACGGCGCCGCUCCCCUCCUCCCUCGCACUCCUCGCCAAGUGCUUCUCCCGCGCCUCCGCCGCGCCCUGCCCCUCCCUCCUCGCGCCGCUCCCCUCCCACCUCCUCUCCGCCUCCAUCCUCUCGCCCGUCCUCCGCCGCCUCCCGCCGCCGCGCGCCCUCCCCUUCGCGCUCUCGCUCCUCGCCUCCCGCCCCGACCACGACCACCCCUCCCUCUUCCUCUCUCUCCUCGAGUCGCUCUCCAAGACCGGCCACGUCGCCGCCGCCGAGCGGCUCGUCGAGGAGCUCCAGCCCCGGCUCCCGCUCGAGCUCCGCCACUACACCGCCUUGCUCUACGGCUGGUGCCGCCUGGGCAAGCUCGACGAGGCCAAGCACGUGCUCGCCCGCAUGAAGGCCGCCGGGGUCGCCCCGGACGUCGUCGUCUUCAACACCCUGCUCGCGGGGUUCGUCGCCGACGGCAGGUUCGAGGACGCGUUCGAGCUCACAAGGGAGAUGGAGCGGCGGGAUUGCCCUCCCAACGCGGUGUCCUACACCACCCUCAUGCAGGGGCUUGGGUCCAAGGGGAGGGUUGAUGAGGUAAUGCGGGUGUUUGUUGAAAUGCGGAGGAAGGGAUGCACGCCGGAUUCUGUCACCUACGGUACUCUGGUCACUGCAUUUUGCAAGGCAGGCAGGUUAUCUCAGGGUUACGAGUUCUUGGACUCCAUGUCGAGGGACGGGCUGCGGGUGGAUCCUGCAGUGUACCUUGGGUUCUUUGUGGCGCAUGAGAAGAAGGAGCAGCUGGAGGAGUGCUUGGAGUUGAUGGAGAGGAUGAGGGAGUGCAGGUGCCCCCCAGACCUCAAUAUCUACAAUGUGGUGAUUCGGCUGUCCUGUAAGCUCGGAGAGACGAAACAAGCCACGACAUUGUGGAACGAGAUGGAGAAUAGCGGGCUUAGUCCUGGGGUCGACACCUUCGCAAUCAUGGUGACUGGGCUUGUUGGUCAGGGCUCGCUGGUCGACGCGUGCAGUUAUUUCAAGGACAUGGUCGGGAGAGGGCUAUUUGUUGCACCACAGUACGGAGUGUUGAAGGACCUUCUCAAUGCGCUAGUCAGGGAUGAGAAACUUGAGCUUGCAAGGGAUGUUUGGGGUUGCAUUGCCAGCAGAGGCUGUGAACUAAAUGUGAGUGCAUGGACAAUCUGGAUCCAUGCACUGUAUGCGAAGAAACAUGUGAAGGAGGCCUGCUCCUAUUGCUUGGACAUGCUCGAGGCAGGGCUGAUGCCGCAGCCAGACACAUUUGCAAAGCUAAUGAAGGGACUGAAGAAACUGUACAACAGACAGAUUGCUGCUGAAAUCACUGAGAAGGUGAGGCUGAUGGCGGAGGAGAGACAUGUAAGCUUUAAAAUGUAUAAGAGGCGUGGGGUGAAGGAUCUCGAAGAGAAGCCUAAGUCAAAGAGAAGGAAAGGGCAAAAGCGGAGUCGGGGGAGGCAGACCGUUCAAGAUCAGCCUAGAGAACAUGCUGACCUUUCGGAUUCUGUCGAUGAUGAAGAAUUCCCGAGUUGAAUUAAACUAGGAUCAUAAAUGGGCAAUGAACUAGUGCACCUUCACUUGAUUACAUUGUUUGUGGGAGUGAUUGGGUUAUGAAGCAACCAAUAAGGAAACAUUGAUCUUGCUGAAAAUGGAGCAGGUUUGCAGUAUUUCUAUUGGCAACUGAUAUUGAUACUUGAGCCAAGUGGCACUCUGGUCCUAUCUGAAGUCCAUUUGCCAGUGUGUACUUCAGUUUUCAAAACCUUUCAGGGGCUAAUAAUAUUGGGUCCUUUCAGUGCCAGUGCAAAAGAAGAUAACACCAAUAUACAACACUACUAUGGCUGGAAGUGAGUCCAGCCUGUCUAAGCUUGGUUAUGCCUGAACUAGCUUGUUGCAACUGGAAGAUUUAUCCAAACAAGCUUGAGCUGAGAUUGAAGAUGCCGGGGAUAAAUGCAACAGUUGCCAUGCCAACUACACAAAAUGGAGUGCAAAAAGAUAGGGCAUUUCAGCUGAUUAAGAGUCGCCGUUGGUGGGCACGAAGCCAUUGCCGAGGACACUGAUAUCUCAAUAUAUUAUGCUGGGUGAUUGAAUUGCAAUGCCAAAUCAAGAAGCGGAAGCAGAUUUGAACCAACAUUUCAUUGCUAAGUGGGAGUUAGAGAAGAACACACGGACACAGAUUUCCUGAGUCACAAGUUCAGAAUCCCAGACUUCAAUGUUGUAGCUGGAGAGGAGCUGAACGGCGGUGAAAGGAGGGUCAGCAUCCCACCGUACGAGGGGAUCUGACCAACUUAUGGCUUCAGAGACCAUCUCUUCUG